GGAUUUUAGGGCCACCUACCUGAGACUUCUGUCACCGCAUUGGUGGCCAGGGUUGAUUCUACUGAUCUUGCUCCCUCAGUACUCUACAUGUAUCCCUCCCGAAGAUGGAAACUGCACCCUUGGUUGGAGAGGGCUACCUUCCCCAAAUAAAGGGGGACCAGUCAAGGGUACAUGAGUAGCAAUGUUCCCCAGAUAGAACCUCAAAACUAACUUGUGGGAAGACACACCUUUUUUUUUUUUUAAGAUUUAUUUAUUUAUCAUGUAUAUAGUAUUCAGU
ensembl:misc_RNA 7SK 7SK RNA